UAUGUCUCAUAGCAUCCAAUCUGUCACCACCAACACCAUUUCUGCUACACCCCAGCCCUCAUCUUCCCAGACUUUUUUUUCUACCCCUGUGACCUGAUCGCUUGUAGCACAGAUGUACUCUGAACCUUCACGUCCUGAAAUUUGUGUGUGAAUCAGACUUCCAUCAGUGUGGCCCCCACCAACAGACAUCUUGCUGUCAUGUGUCAGGACCCAGCUGCAUCCUCCAUCCAAGCUUUUGGACAUUGACCCCACUACACUACUCCCUUCAUUGCCCUCCCUGUUGCCUCCUCCAUCACCAUUGGCCCAGCCGCCUCCUCCAUCACCACUGGCCCCACCGCCUCCUCCAUCACCACUGGCCCCGCCAUCUCCCCCAUCGCCUUGUACACUGGCCCUGUCGCCUCUAACUCCUUCUCUGUUGGCCCAGCCAUCAGAACUGGCUGUAGACGAACAUAACAUGCCAGGCAUGGACAAGGUAGACAGCCUAGCUGAGUUCCUGGUGGAUCUGCGUCAUGAGCCAUCCUUGACCCUUACCAACCAGCAGGCUGGCAGAACUGUAAGUCUGUGGCAGAACCUGUUGCCAUAUGACCAACAAUGUGUGGCCUUUGCCGCACGGCACCAAGAACGCCCGGCUCAACAAAGGACGGUUCCGUUCUCCUAAAAAGAAAAAGGACUUCACUCCAGGAGUGCCACUUUGCAGCGGAUUGCCUACUCCAGCCUUUCCCUACGCCAGUUCCCUACGCCAGUUGUUUUUACCCUCAACAGCCCUCACCUGGCCCACAGAAACCCACCUCCAAGGCCAAGUUUAAUAAACGAACAGUGGAGGUGAAUUCAUGCCGGACAUGUGGACAGUUACGGACAAAGGCAACUGGCCACAGUCAGUAUAAGGGCACUAUACAGCCCAAAUACAGAGCCUCUGUCAAAAGAGGAGUGGCUGAAAGAAAUGAAGAAAAGUAAAUUGUAAAUGUGUACACUACUUUUUUGAGGUUGUUUGUAAGGUUGUUCUCAUGUUCUGUGUGUGUGUGUGUGCGCGCGCGUCCGUGUGUGAAUGUGUCCGAGUGUGCAAAUAAAUGCAUUUUAAUUGGUUUUCAUUGUAUCUUCUGCAUUGUUUUUUGUCAAGAGGUAUUUAUAUUCUUAUACAGAUUCUGCAUAGUGGUUUAAGUC